GAUGAACGCUAGCUACAGGCUUAACACAUGCAAGUCGCGGGGCAGCAUGGGGGUUGCUUGCAAUCCCCGAUGGCGACCGGCGCACGGGUGAGUAACGCGUAUCCAACCUGCCCUUCACCACGGGAUAACCCGGCGAAAGUCGGACUAAUACCGUAUGUUGUCCAUUGACGGCAUCCGAUUUGGACGAGAGGUUUGGCGGUGAAGGAUGGGGAUGCGUCCGAUUAGCUGGACGGCGGGGUGACGGCCCACCGUGGCGACGAUCGGUAGGGGUUCUGAGAGGAAGGUCCCCCACACUGGAACUGAGACACGGUCCAGACUCCUACGGGAGGCAGCAGUGAGGAAUAUUGGUCAAUGGGCGUAAGCCUGAACCAGCCAAGUAGCGUGCAGGAUGACGGCCCUAUGGGUUGUAAACUGCUUUUAUGCGGGGAUAAAGUGGCCCACGUGUGGGUUUUUGCAGGUACCGCAUGAAUAAGGACCGGCUAAUUCCGUG
rnacentral:rRNA from 1 species